GCUAGAAUUUUGUGGCAUUUGAGUUGAAUAUUGAAAAGCGCAUUUGGUGCACAUUUUACAUUAUAUCUCAAUCAAAAGUGCUUCAAUAACUCUCAUUUUUCUGUUAUGGAUUUACCUACACCACUAGAAUUGAAUGGAGGCUCCAAUUU